UUAAACAGGGCAGAUUGGAGCCUGUGCAGGCUUAUUUAAAGAAAAACAAACGAGGUUUGGGAGCAGAGACAAAGAAACCACAGAGCACAGGGGAUAAAAAAAAUGUGGCUUCUGAUAAGACUGAUGAUAAAUUGUCUAGCAGAAGUAAAGCGAAAAGGUCAAAGAGGCUGAAGAAGGCUCUAGAAAUCGAGAAAAAAUUGCAGGAGAACGAAUUCCAAGCGGCUUUCUUUAGGGAGUUUUGGCCAGAUAAUGUCUGAUGCAACAUAACUCAUUCCGGUAUUCAACUACAUGACCAGGAAAGCUUUUUUGUUAGAUUCCUGACAUGGGUCUGAUCGAGAUCCGACUGUGAUGGAUGCCCCAACCUAUAUCUAUUUGAGACAGCGUCAAGUUAGAGAUGGACCAAAUAGCCCAAGCCCGAAAAUUCCGGACCUAGUGAGCCUGAAGCCUGGUCUGGGCUAGGCCUCAAAGCCUGAUCAAGCCGGAAUUUUGGGGGUAUGUGUGACUUAACAUCCUUUUAACAACAUAAGAUCCAUCGAU